GCCGUAAAAGAUCCUACCUGCGGCGCUCCGCGGGGUGCCCCCCCCGUGUGUUUUGCUGGAAUGCUAAUAGGCCGAAAACUCCGGUGCCUUAGGAUUGGUCUGCGGUCUAUCAGGCUGUAGUGGGUGUAAUGGACCCACUAGCCCGUGACGGAUAUGGGCCUUGAGAGAGGGAGCCCAGAGAUGGACUCUGAGACAUGAAUCCAGGCCCUACGGGGCGCAGCAGUCGCGAAAACUUCGCAAUGGGGGCAACCCCGACGAGGGAAUUCCAAGUGCUAGCACUUUGUGUUAGCUGUUCUUCUGUCUAAAAAACAGGAGGAGUAAGGGGCGGGUAAGACGGGUGCCAGCAGCCGCGGUAAUACGAU
rnacentral:rRNA from 1 species